UACGGAGGAUGCGAGCGUUAUCCGGAUUUAUUGGGGUUAAAGGGUGCGUAGGCGGACUGUCAAGUCAGCGGUAAAAUUGAGAGGCUCAACCUCUUCCCGCCGUUGAAACUGGUGGUCUUGAGUGGAUGAGAAGUACGCGGAAUGCGUGGUGUAGCGGUGAAAUGCAUAGAUAUCACGCAGAACUCCGAUUGCGAAGGCAGCGUACCGGCAUCCAACUGACGCUGAGGCACGAAAGCGUGGGGAUCAAACAGG
rnacentral:rRNA from 1 species